AUUGAACGCUGGCGGCAUGCCUUACACAUGCAAGUCGAACGGCAGCAUGAUCUAGCUUGCUAGAUUGAUGGCGAGUGGCGAACGGGUGAGUAAUACAUCGGAACGUGCCCUGUAGUGGGGGAUAACUAGUCGAAAGAUUAGCUAAUACCGCAUACGACCUGAAGGUGAAAGUGGGGGACCGCAAGGCCUCAUGCUAUAGGAGCGGCCGAUGUCUGAUUAGCUAGUUGGUGAGGUAAAGGCUCACCAAGGCGACGAUCAGUAGCUGGUCUGAGAGGACGAUCAGCCACACUGGGACUGAGACACGGCCCAGACUCCUACGGGAGGCAGCAGUGGGGAAUUUUGGACAAUGGGCGAAAGCCUGAUCCAGCAAUGCCGCGUGUGUGAAGAAGGCCUUCGGGUUGUAAAGCACUUUUGUCCGGAAAGAAAUGGCUCUGGUUAAUACCUGGGGUCGAUGACGGUACCGGAAGAAUAAGGACCGGCUAACUACGU
rnacentral:rRNA from 1 species